rnacentral:tRNA from 1 species
GGGGAUAUAGCUCAGAGGUAGAGCAUUCGACUGCAGAUCGAGAGGUCCCCGGUUCGAACGCGGGUGUCCCCU